GCAGGAUAAAAACGCAAUGCGCGCCGCGCUAGAGCUGGUAGGUAGCCCAGCCGUCUGACGCAAGUCAGGUAAGUAACCCUCCCCUCCGGGUCGUCCAUUUCUGCGGG
rnacentral:ncRNA from 1 species